GUAGUGAGUGAAGGAAAGAAAAAUCUUUUCUUGCAGAUAACCAGGAUUGCAUCUAAAAUUUUUUAUAUAUUUUACUAAUUAAAGAUUAAAUAUUUACCUAAUAUAUAGUGGAAUAGAGAUUAAAUCCUCGAAAUCUAGACUCAAAUCCUAGCAUAGGUAUGAAUCUGCAGGCUCUCUACUUCGUGCGUAUGCCAAGCUACACAAGAAAGCAGGAUGAAGCCUCAGACUGAAGCACCUUCACAAAGCCACCA
rnacentral:lncRNA from 1 species